AUUGAACGCUGGCGGCAUGCCUAACACAUGCAAGUCGAACGGCAGCACGGCAGUAGCAAUACUGUGGGUGGCGAGUGGCGGACGGGUGAGGAAUACGUCGGAAUCUGCCCAAUCGUGGGGGAUAACUAACCGAAAGGUUAGCUAAUACCGCAUACGACCGAGAGGUGAAAGCGGGGGACCGCAAGGCCUCGCGCGAUUGGAUGAGCCGACGUCGGAUUAGCUUGUUGGUGGGGUAAAGGCCUACCAAGGCAACGAUCCGUAGCUGGUCUGAGAGGAUGAUCAGCCACACUGGAACUGAGACACGGUCCAGACUCCUACGGGAGGCAGCAGUGGGGAAUAUUGGACAAUGGGCGCAAGCCUGAUCCAGCAAUGCCGCGUGUGUGAAGAAGGCCUCGGUUGUAAG
rnacentral:rRNA from 1 species